CCUGGCUCAGGAUGAACGCUAGCGACAGGCUUAACACAUGCAAGUCGAGGGGCAGCGGGGGUAGCAAUACCCGCCGGCGACCGGCGCACGGGUGAGUAACGCGUAUGUAACUUACCUAUCAGAGGGGGAUAACCCGGCGAAAGUCGGACUAAUACCGCAUGAAGCAGGGGCCCCGCAUGGGGAUAUUUGCUAAAGAUUCAUCGCUGAUAGAUAGGCAUGCGUUCCAUUAGGCAGUUGGCGGGGUAACGGCCCACCAAACCGACGAUGGAUAGGGGUUCUGAGAGGAAGGUCCCCCACAUUGGUACUGAGACACGGACCAAACUCCUACGGGAGGCAGCAGUGAGGAAUAUUGGUCAAUGGCCGAGAGGCUGAACCAGCCAAGUCGCGUGAGGGAUGAAGGUUCUAUGGAUCGUAAACCUCUUUUAUAAGGGAAUAAAGUGCGGGACGUGUCCCGUUUUGUAUGUACCUUAUGAAUAAGGAUCGGCUAACUCCGUGCCAGCAGCCGCGGUAAUACGGAGGAUCCGAGCGUUAUCCGGAUUUAUUGGGUUUAAAGGGUGCGUAGGCGGCCUUUUAAGUCAGCGGUGAAAGUCUGUGGCUCAACCAUAGAAUUGCCGUUGAAACUGGGGGGCUUGAGUAUGUUUGAGGCAGGCGGAAUGCGUGGUGUAGCGGUGAAAUGCAUAGAUAUCACGCAGAACCCCGAUUGCGAAGGCAGCCUGCCAAGCCAUGACUGACGCUGAUGCACGAAAGCGUGGGGAUCAAACAGGAUUAGAUACCCUGGUAGUCCACGCAGUAAACGAUGAUCACUAGCUGUUUGCGAUACACUGUAAGCGGCACAGCGAAAGCGUUAAGUGAUCCACCUGGGGAGUACGCCGGCAACGGUGAAACUCAAAGGAAUUGACGGGGGCCCGCACAAGCGGAGGAACAUGUGGUUUAAUUCGAUGAUACGCGAGGAACCUUACCCGGGUUUGAACGCAUUCGGACCGAGGUGGAAACACCUUUUCUAGCAAUAGCCGUUUGCGAGGUGCUGCAUGGUUGUCGUCAGCUCGUGCCGUGAGGUGUCGGCUUAAGUGCCAUAACGAGCGCAACCCUUGCCACUAGUUACUAACAGGUGAUGCUGAGGACUCUGGUGGGACUGCCAGCGUAAGCUGCGAGGAAGGCGGGGAUGACGUCAAAUCAGCACGGCCCUUACAUCCGGGGCGACACACGUGUUACAAUGGCGUGGACAAAGGGAGGCCACCUGGCGACAGGGAGCGAAUCCCCAAACCACGUCUCAGUUCGGAUCGGAGUCUGCAACCCGACUCCGUGAAGCUGGAUUCGCUAGUAAUCGCGCAUCAGCCAUGGCGCGGUGAAUACCCUCCAGGGCCUUGUACACACCGCCCG
rnacentral:rRNA from 1 species